rnacentral:rRNA from 1 species
CCUACGGGUGGCAGCAGUAGGGAAUAUUGCUCAAUGGGCGAAAGCCUGAAGCAGCAACGCCGCGUGAAGGAUGAAGGUUUUCGGAUUGUAAACUCCUUUUGUUAGAGAAGAUCAUGCCGUUAUCUAACGAAUAAUCAAUGGCUAACUCCGUGCCAGCAGCCGCCGUAAUACGGCGGGUGCAAGCGUUACUCGGAAUCACUGGGCGUAGAGGGCGCGUAGGCGGUAUGGCAAGUCAGGUGUGAAAUCCUUAGGCUCAACCAUAGAACUGCAUUUGAAACUGUCAGACUAGAGUGUGGGAGAGGUAGGUGGAAUUCCUGGUGUAGGGGUGAAAUCCGUAGAUAUCAGGAGGAACA